rnacentral:misc_RNA from 1 species
GAUGAAGAACGUAGCGAAAUGCGAUAAGUAAUGUGAAUUGCAGAAUUCAGUGAAUCAUCGAAUCUUUGAACGCACAUUGCGCCCGCGAGUAUUCUCGCGGGCAUGCCUGUUCGAGCGUCAUUUCAACCCUCAGGCCCCCAGUGCCUGGUGUUGGGGAUCGGCAGCAGGGCGUCAAGCCCGCCGGCCCCGAAAUCUAGUGGCGGUCUCGCUGUAGUCCUCCUCUGCGUAGUAGCACAACCUCGCAGUUGGAACGCGGCGGUGGCCAUGCCGUUAAACACCCCACUUCUGAAAGUUGACCUCGGAUCAGGUAGGAAUACCCGCUGAACUUAAGCAUAUCAAUAAGCGGAGGA